GGUCCCAUCGUCUAGUGGUCCAGGACGCCGGCCUCUCACGUCGGUAACACGGGUUCGACUCCCGUUGGGACCGCCA
rnacentral:tRNA from 1 species